rnacentral:rRNA from 1 species
GGUGAACGCUGGCGGCGUGCUUAAGACAUGCAAGUCGAACGCAGUCUUCGGACUGAGUGGCGCACGGGUGAGUAACACGUAACUGACCUACCCCCAAGUCGCGAAUAACCAGCCGAAAGGAUGGCUAAUACGUGAUGUGAUGAUCCGCUGUGGCGGAUCAUUUAAGACUUGAUCGCUUGGGGAUGGGGUUGCGUUCCAUCAGCUAGUUGGUAAGGUAAAGGCUUACCAAGGCAACGACGGAUAGCCGGCCUGAGAGGGUGGCCGGCCACAGGGGCGCUGAGACACGGGUCCAGCGCGCACGGGGGGCAGCAGUUAGAACUCUUCCAGAAUGGGCACAAGCCUCAUGGGGGAACGCCGCGUGAGAGAAGAAGGUUCUCGGCUCCUAAACCUCUGAACCAACGACGAAAGACCCGACAAGGGACAUGAGGGUAGUUGGGUAAUAGCGCCGGCUAACUCCGUGCAAGCCGCCGCCGUAACAC